GAGCUUGGGGGUUCCCAACAGGAGAAUUCAAAUGAAGACUACGCUGAAUCUCCGUCUUCAGUAAAAUGUCCAAGCAGCAUGAUGUCAUCAAUACAGGAGACCCGUGCGGUGUUCUGCAGAAAGUCAACGUGACUGUGGUCGUGCAGGCGACACUGUGACAGGGAGCAGGAGAAUUAUCACCAUCUUGGGGCAUGACCGUGAAUGGCUACUCUUCCCAUACACCUCGAAAGCCUCUGGGUUCUCCUCACUAAUGCGGCUUGAGAAGAACACACGGACAGAUCCAACAUGACCUAGCAUCACGCAAACGGCUUUUGCAGACACGAAUCCAGAUGGAUUAAAAGGAGGAUAUAAUUGGAGUUAUCACCCCUCUAGCUUUAAGUCUUUACGGAGAGAUUAAUUUCUAAGCCCGAAUUAAUUGCGCAUCUACAGAUUCAGAAACUAAAAGCAUGGUUCUAGUUUUAGCUACUCAAUGUGGGGCAUGGUUGUCACGUAGAAAAAGCUGCAUUGGACAUGCAGGCUGGAAAUAUAGAGGAGAAAACUUGGAGUUCCCAUUGUGGCGCAGUGGUUAACGAAUCCAACUAGGAACUAUGAGGUUGCGGGUUCGAUCCCUGGCCUUGCUCAGUGGGUUGACGAUCCCGUGUUGCCGUGAGCUGUGGUGUAGGCUGGCAGCUACAGUUCCCAUUCGACCCCUAGCCAGGGAACCUCCAUAUGCCGUGGGUGCAGCCCCAGAAAAGACAAAAAGACCAAGAAGAAAAGAAAACUGAACAAGGCGUGCAGAUUUCGGAGUCGGAAGAUGGCAGCUGAAGUCAAGGCAGCGGAUGGGGCUGUCCUCAGACAUCAUGGAGACUAAGCACAGCGCGAGUCUCCCCAAGUCAACAGGACUCGACUCCGGAACCCAGCUGUGAAGCCUGAAACCUUGUCAGCCACCUUGUACCACGAGGCAACCAGCCAGCACACCAAGGGCGGCAGAGUGAAAAGCAGCCACGAGCCUGAGCCUCUGAUGGCAUCUGGGAAGCUCUGCCCCAGCCUCCGGCGGCCUGCCUCCAGACCUCUCCUCGUGUGCGAUAAUGAAGGCAUCUGAUUGUUCGAGACACGGCUUGUCAGGUGUUCCGGGGCAGGGCAGGAAGCAGUCCUGACCGAGAGAAAACGUACAGAGCGGCAGGAGCUAACUGCCAGAAGAGAGGGCUAAGUCAAGGCCGUGCUGGAACCAGCGUUAAGGACAAACCUAUCAAUUAGGGAACACAGAGGGUGGCUGUUUUUCAGCUCAGCUCCUGGUUCUGUGGGGGAGACUUGGAAACAAGAGAUGGAGCCUCUGUUCUGAAAGCGUUUACAGCCACGUGGGAGGCGGUCUGAUGAAAUACCACACCAAACAGCAGGCAGCCAAGAGCUGGGUUUUAUAAGCUCCAAGGAGGGGAGGCUUAGUGCAGGGGCAGUGGCUCAGACGGGGGUGGUUUUCUGGAGGCUGAGGGGCUUGAGCCUCGAAAGAUGAAGGGGGUUUGCUGACUCAUCAUUAGCCCAUCCAUGAUCUCUGCCUGGAGGCAUAAGGAUGCUACAGGAGGUGACCUGCCGACAAGGCCCUGGGGCACAGCAGCGGCUCUUUAAGUCUUAAUGCCCUUCUGGUUCUCCACGCGAGGUGCUUUAGGGGGAUAUUUCCUCCCUCUCAGAUUCAUUUACUUCACGCAUAUCUAUUGAGCCUUUACCGUGGAUGAGGAAUGGCCUCCGAUGCUGUGGACACAGGUGUGGGCAGCGCACACAGUACCUAACCUCAGAGAGCUUCCGCUCCAGGGAGGGAGGCAGGUGGCAAAUGAGAGGAAAACCACAAGGCGACCCUACUUCCCGGAGAGUGUGGCAAGCACCAGAACUCAGGAGGACACCACCGCGGGUACCACAUUCCGCCUCUGUGCCCAGGCCACCCCCUGCUGCUGCGGCGGCCAUUCCCCCCACCCCCGCGUCUCCAGGCUCAUCCACCGGCCCAUCUCCCUCUCUGCACGUCCCACGCAGCGUGUCCGAAGCUCCACUUCACACUGCCCCGGCCCUCACCCUUCGGGGCGGCUGCGCCAUCGUCCCAGCAACCACCCUCUGCCACGCCGAUCUUCUCCUCAAGGUGGCAGCACUGAUCCCUCAGCCUAAGGGGCCCCUCCGGGUAGCACUCCCGCACGUCCAGAGCUCAGGGACCACACAGAGGAUCACCCCAAACUGGGACACAGUGAGGAGGGACAGGGCCGCUCUUAAUAAUCACCUCAGAGGACCGGCAAACCAAGGCGUGUGUGGCCUCCUAGCCAGAGCCCAACGCUGAGGUCGGAUGCUCCAGACAGCCGCUUCCUCUGUCACCUCGCCGUUUCCCAAACCAGGGAACACCUGGGAGGUAUCAAUAGGGACAAAAAAAUAAACUACAAAUUCCACAUCGGACUGAUUUUGAGAAACGCUGGGUCAAUCCAAGAUGACUAGGUAUUAGUGAGAACAUCACGUCAUGUCACCCAAGCCCAUCUGACCAUGGAAUCCCUGUGCGGAGAGCAUCGUGUGGAAGUAACACACUUUGAGAAAUACUGUCCCAGGUGAAUCGUUCCUGGAGUUCGUCUUCUCUCUGUCCUGGUGUUUAGUACUAAGACGUGAACAGCAGGAUGGAGACAGGCUCAUACCCAGCUCUGCCUCUUUCCAGCUGGGUGCUGUUCUGGCUGCAAGUAACCCAUCAGCAGAGAUUGUGGUCCAUCAUUCUGACAGCAACGACGCCUGAGCUAAGAGCUUCUAGCCCAGCAGUGUUUUCCAGGACCCAAAUGUUUUCCAUUCCUUCACCCUGCUGUCUUCAGCGUGUUGCUUAACUCGUCUCGUGGUGGCAGGAUGGCUCCAGCACCUCCGAGCACAGCACACAGAAACAAAGACCUCCCACAAAGAGGGACAUGUCCUCCACGUGUGUAGCCUUGACCAUUGAUUCUUAGCAAACAGUAAGUUUUCCAGAUGCCCCAUCUCCAUCUCCGACACACACACACACACACACACACACACACACACACACACCCUCACGCCUCUAUAGAAGACGUCUCCUCCCCAGGUCUCUGGCUAAGCAGGGUGUCCAACCAACCCAGUCUACCCAGUCCGCCCAGUCCGCCCCGUCUGCCCAGAACUGAUGUUUCCUGGGAUCCGGCACUAACAGCACUAAAACCAGGACAUUCCUGGGCAACUUGAAUGAGUUCGUGGCUGGAUGGGAACAGACCCGAGGACCGCCUGCAUCCAUCCACGGACAGGGGAACGGAUGCACCACGAUGAGCUUAGGCGCAUCGGGACUUAGACGCCGAAACAGGCGAGGGAGCCAGCUUUCCUGAAUGCAGAAUGAGGGCCACCUGCACAAACUUCCCGACUCCUCACGGCGAGGAAGAGGGAAAGGCUGCUGGGGCGGCGCUCGGCAGCGGGGCCUCUUCUGGGAAAUGAGAUGCAGUGGUCAUUCGCUCCCGGCGAGGUGGCGGGGAAGACUGGAUAGGACAGGUGACCGUGCCUUACACGGAAAACCAACAACAGCAUCUUUUUACUAAGCACUUACUGUGUACCAAGCACAGUGCUAAAGCUAUUACAGUAUUCUCACCACAUCCAAACAACAUUCCAGGAGACGGAUGCCACAGAGAUUCCUGAGACACAAAGAGGCCAGGUGAUGUGCCCAAGGUCAUACAAUGAGAAAGCCGUGGAGCCAGGUCUCAAAGCCAAGUUGAACACUGUGAUGCCCAUAUAUUUUUGGGGGGGCAGGGUGUGAGGGGGGUUUGGGGCUGCACCUGGGGCAUAUGGAAGUUUCCAGACUAGGGGUCAAAUCCAAGCUGCAGCGCUUAGCCUUUGACCUACACCACAGCUCAAGACAAUGUUGGAUCCUUAACCCACUGAGCAGGGCCAGGGAUUGAACCCCCGUCCCCAUGGAUACUAGCUGGGUUGGUUUCUGAUGAGCCACAACGGGAACCAAACCAUGCCUCUCAAUCUCUCUGCCCCACUGCCUUGCAGUGUUAAUUUCCUUCCCUUUCAUCUCCAGCACCCGGCACAGGCCCGGCACACAGCAAGCCCUCAUUAAAUACUCUUUGAAUGAGUAGAUGG
rnacentral:lncRNA from 1 species